rnacentral:tRNA from 1 species
GACUCAGUGGUUCAAUGGUAAAGCGCUCGUCGUAAAACCAGAGGGUCCUGGGUUCGGUCCCCAAUGUGGUCG